GGUCAGAUGCCAGAGUGGUCGAAUGGCGCAGUUUGCAAAACUGUUGUAUCAUCGGUUCAAAUCCGAUUCUGACCUCCA
rnacentral:tRNA from 2 species